UGGGGAAUAUUGCACAAUGGGGGAAACCCUGAUCCAGCGACGCCGCGUGAGCGAAGAAGGCUUUCGAGUCGUAAAGCUCUGUCCUAUGAGAAGAUAAUGACGGUAUCAUAGGAGGAAGCCCUGGCUAAAUACGUGCCAGCAGCCGCGGUAAUACGUAUGGGGCGAGCGUUGUCCGGAAUCAUUGGGCGUAAAGGGUACGUAGGUGGUUUUUUAAGUCAGGUGUCAAAGCGUGGAGCUUAACUCCAUUAAGCACUUGAAACUGAAAGACUUGAGUGAAGGAGAGGAAAGUGGAAUUCCUAGUGUAGCGGUGAAAUGCGUAGAUAUUGGGAGGAAUACCGGUGGCGAAGGCGACUUUCUGGGCCAGAACUGACGCUGAGGAGCGAAAGCGAGGGGAGCGAACAGG
rnacentral:rRNA from 1 species